rnacentral:rRNA from 2 species
ACUUUUAACAACAAAUCUCUUAGUUCUAGUAUUAAUAAAGAACGCAGCGAAAUAUAAUAAGUAGUGUAAAUUAUAGAAUUUAGUAAAUUAUUAAAUCUUUAAACGCAUAUUGCGCCCCUUAGUAUUCUAUAGGGCAUGCCUGUUUAAGCGUUAUUUGUACCCUUAAGCUCUGCUUAGUGUUAGGUAUUUGUUCUACUUAGGACUUGCCUUAAAACAAUUAGCAGCUAGUAUAUUAGCCUAGAGCGCAGCACAUUUUACGCCUCUUGUUAUAGUUAUUAGUAUCUAUUAAGACACUUUUUAAGCUCUUAACCUUAGAUUAGGUAGGGAUACCCGCUAAACUUAAGUAUAUUAAUAAGUAGAGGAAAAGAAACUAAUAGGGAUUGCCCUAGUAACAGCGAGUGAAGUGGCAAUAGCUUAAAUUUAAAAUCUAGCUCUUUUAGGGUCUAAGUUGUAAUUUGCAGAGGGCGCUUUAGCGUUAGUAGUAGUCUAAGUUCCUUAGAAUAGGACGUUAUAGAGGGUAAGAAUCCUAUAUGUGGUUGCUAGCCUUUGCUGUGUAAAGCCCCUUUAACAAGUUAAGUUAUUUAGGAAUGCAGCUCUAAAUAGGAGGUAAAUUUCUUUUAAAGCUAAAUACUAGCUAGAGACUAAUAGCGUAUAAGUAGAGUAAUUAAAAGAUAAAAAGCACUUUAGAAAGAGAGUUAAAUAGCACGUGAAAUUGUUAAAAGGGAAGCGCUUGCAGCUAGACUUGCCUGUAGUUACUUAUCUAGGCUUUUGUCUAGUGCACUCUUCUAUAGGCAGGCUAGUAUUAGUUUAGGUAGUUAGAUAAAGGUCUCUAUUACGUACCUCCCUUUAGGGAGGCCUUAUAGGGGAGACAAUAUACAACUAGCCUAGACUAAGGUCCGCGUAUCUACUAGGAUGCUAGCGUAAUAGCUGUAAGCGGCCUAUCUUAAAACACGGACUAAGGAGUCUAAUAUCUAUGCAAGUGUUUAGGUAUUAAGCCUAGACGCGUAAUAAAAGUAAACAGAUGUAGGAACCCUUUUAGGGUACACUAUUAACUAAUCCUAAUAUCUUUAGAAGGAUUUAAGUAAGAGUAUAGCUAUUAGGACCUAAAAGAUAGUAAACUAUGCUUAAAUAGGGUAAAGCUAGAGGAAACUCUAGUAGAGGCUUAUAGCAGUUCUAACGUGCAAAUCAAUUGUUAAAUUUAGGCAUAGGGGCGAAAGACUAAUUAAACUAUCUAGUAGCUAGUUCCUACCAAAGUUUCCCUUAGGAUAGCAGUAAUGUAUUUAGUUUUAUAAGGUAAAGCGAAUAAUUAGAGGCCUAGGGGUUAAAACAACCUUUACCUAUUCUUAAACUUUAAAUAUAUAAGAAGUCCUUAUUACUUAAUUAAACGUAGACACUUAAAUAUACUAUUACUAGUAGGCUAUUUUUAGUAAGUAGAACUAGCGAUGCAGGAUGAACUAAACGCAGGGUUAAGGUGCUAGAAUGCACGCUUAUUAGACACUACAAAAGGUGUUAGUUUAUCUAGACAGCAGGAUAGUAGCUAUAGAAGUUAGAAUCUACUAAGGAGUGUGUAAUAACUUACCUGCUAAAUAAACUAGCCCUAAAAAUAGAUGGCGCUUAAGCGUGUUACCUAUACCCCGCCGCUAGGGCAAGAUUUAAGCCCUAGCAAGUAGGCAGGCGUAAAGGCUUGUAACAAAGCCUUAGGGGUAACUCUAGGUAGAACGGCCUCUAGUGCAGAUCUUAGUAGUAGUAGCAAAUACUUAAAUAAGAACUUUAAGGACUAAAGUAGGGAAAGGUUCUAUAUAAACAGCAGUUAGACACAGGUUAGUUAAUCCUAAGAGAUAGGAUAAUUCCAUUUUAAUAUCAGUGCUUACGCUGCGCCCUUAAAAGGGAAGCUAGUUAAUAUUCUAGCACCUAGAUAUAGAUUCUCCGCAGCAACCUAACUAAGAGUGGAGACCUUAGCGGGAGCCCUAAGAAGAGUUCUCUUUUCUUCUUAACAGUCUGUUACCCUAAAAUUAGUUUGUCUAGAGCUAGGGUUUAAUAGCUAGAAGAGCGCUACACUUUUGCAGCGUUUAGUGCGCUCCUAACAAGCCUUAAAAAUCUACUUAAAGAAAUAGUUUUUACGCUAGGUUGUACUUAUAACUAUAGUAGGUCUCUAAGGUAAAAAGCCUCUAGUUAAUAGAAUAAUAUAGAUAAGGGAAGUUAGCAAAAUAGAUCUAUAACUUUAGGAAAAGGAUUAGCUCUAAGGGUUUGGUACGUUAGGCCUUAGGGAGAAGCCUCUAGCGUAGAAGGGCACUAACCGCAAGGUAGGCGCCUCUUAGCGCUAGGGUGCAGACACCCUUAGCAGGUUUUAGCUGUCUAGCGUACGUUUAACAACUAACUUAGAACUAGUAUAGAUAAGGGGAAUCUAACUAUCUAAUUAAAAUAUAGCAUUACAAUAGCUAGAAAGUAGUAUUAAUAUAAUAUAAUUUCUGCCUAGUACUCUAAAUAUUAAAGCAAAGAGAUUUGACUAAGCGCGGGUAAACAGCAGGAGUAACUAUAACUCUCUUAAGGUAGCCAAAUGCCUUGUUAUCUAAUUAGUGACGCGCAUAAAUAGAUUAACAAGAUUCCUACUAUCCCUAUCUACUAUCUAGCGAAACCACAGCUAAGGGAACAGGCUUAGCUAAAUUAGCGGGGAAAGAAGACCCUGUUAAGCUUAACUCUAGUUUAAUAUUAUAAAAAGACAUAGGGGGUGUAGAAUAGGUAGGAGCUUUAGCGCUAGUGAAAUACUACUACCCUUAUCAUUUUUUUACUUAUUUAAUAAAGCGGAGCUAGGCCUUACUACCUAACUUCUAGCGUUUAAGGUCCUUUAUAGGCUAAUCUAGGUUAAAGAUAUUAUUAGGUAAGGAGUUUAGCUAGGGCGGCACAUCUAUUAAACCAUAACGUAGGUGUCCUAAGGGGGACUUAUAGAGAACAGAAAUCUCUAGUAGAGUAAAAGGGCAAAAGUCCCCUUAAUUUUAAUUUUUAGUGUGAAUACAAACUAUAAAAGUGUGGCCUAUUAAUCCUUUAGUCCCUUGAAAUUUGAGGCUAGAGGUGCUAGAAAAGUUACUACAGGGAUAACUAGCUUGUGGCAGCCAAGCGUUUAUAGCGACGUUGCUUUUUGAUCCUUUAAUAUUAGCUCUUCCUAUUAUACUAAAGCAGAAUUUAGUAAGCGUUAGAUUGUUUACCUACUAAUAGGGAACGUAAGCUAGGUUUAGACCGUCGUAAGAUAGGUUAGUUUUACCCUACUAAUAACCUUGCCCUAAUAGUAAUACCGCUUAGUACGAGAGGAACCGCGGUUUUAGAUAAUUAGUUUUUGCGGCUAUCUAACUAGGCAUUGCCGCGAAGCUACUAUCUACUAGAUUAUAGCUAAACGCCUCUAAGUUAGAAUCCAUGCUAGAAUAGGGUAAUUUCCGCCUGCACUAGUUAGAUACAAAUAGGCCUUUAGCCUAGAACCUUACUAGAUUAGCGUUAGCAGCCCUAUUAAAGUUAGGGUUGUUAGCUAGUGUAUUAUAAUUGUAUAGUGCGCAGGAUUGAAUCCUUUAUAGAUAACUUAGUUAUCUAGCUAGGUCGUGUAAGUAGUUAAGUAGCCUUGUUGUUACGAGCUACUAAGCGUAAGCCUGUUACUAGCUUAGUUGAAAUUAGGAUAUUAU